UACGUAGGGGGCAAGCGUUGUCCGGAUUUAUUGGGCGUAAAGAGCGUGUAGGCGGCCAUACAGGUCAGGUGUGAAAACUCGAGGCUCAACCUCGAGACGUCGGUUGAAACCGUAUGGCUAGAGUCCGGAAGAGGAGAGUGGAAUUCCCGGUGUAGCGGUGAAACGCGCAGAUAUCGGGAAGAACACCUAUGGCGAAGGCAGCUCUCUGGGACGGUACUGACGCUGAGACGCGAAAGCGUGGGGAGCGAACAGG
rnacentral:rRNA from 1 species